GAUGAAGAAUGUAGCGAAAUGCGAUAAGUAAUGUGAAUUGCAGAAUUCAGUGAAUCAUCGAAUCUUUGAACGCACAUUGCGCCCAUUAGCAUUCUAGUGGGCAUGCCUGUUCGAGCGUCAUUUCAACCCUUAAGCCCUGUUGCUUAGCGUUGGGAGCCUACAGUACUGUAGCUCCCCAAAGUUAGUGGCGGAGUCGGUUUCACACUCUAGACGUAGAAAUUUUUUCUCGUCUGUAGUUGAGUCGGUCCCCUGCCGUAAAACACCCAAUUUAUCAAGGUUGACCUCGGAUCAGGUAGGAAUACCCGCUGAACUUAAGCAUAUCAAUAAGCGGAGGA
rnacentral:misc_RNA from 1 species